UGGUGAUCCUUCGGUGUCAAGCCCUAAUGGCAAGGUUUGAUUUUUUUUUCCCCAUUUUUACUAACUGAAAAUACAGCCCCAAAACAUACAGAUUUAAAAAAAUCACUGAUUAACUUUAUUGGCAUUAUAUUACUGUUGCUUUAAGGCACAUUUUUCAAAAAAUAUGGACAUUGUAACUAGUCUGUUGACCAAGUACAUUUUUUUUGUUGCUCAGAAGAAACAACUCAGAUCAGUAGAGAUGCAGACCGCAGUCGACUAUUUGAAUGUGCACAUUUUAUUUUUUGUCAUUAUCAGUUUAGUUGCAAUUCUGAAAAACUGAAUGUUGAUGCAUUUGCCAUUUAAUUCAGAAUACCCAACAUAAAGCAGAAAUAACCCCAAACUAAACCAACGAUGUGUAAAAAAUUCAAAACCUGGUACUGUACCAUUUCCCAAGUUAGAAGUCAUGGCCAAAGAUGGAUUUCAGAAGCUUUGGCACCUCAUCCAAGCGGACAUUUCAGUGCAGUCCUGAGGACUCCAGCACUGUUGGACAUGCUGUCUGUCGGGUGAGGUGCAGUGCUGAGGGACCCCAGCACUGUUGGGCAUGCUGUCUGUCGGGUGAGGUGCAGUGCUGAGGGACCCCAGCACUGUUGGGCAUGCUGUCUGUCGGGUGAGGUGCAGUGCUGAGGGACCCCAGCACUGUUGGGCAUGCUGUCUGUCGGGUGAGGUGCAGUGCUGAGGGACCCCAGCACUGUUGGGCAUGCUGUCUGUCAGGUGAGGUGCAGUCCUGAGGUACCCCAGCACUGUUGGGCAUGCUGUCUGUCGGGUGAGGUGCAGUCCUAAGGGACUCCUGUGAUGUUAGGAGUGCAGUUUGUCAGAUGAGAUGAUAAUCCAAGGCAAUCAACCUGCCUUCUCAGAUAGAUGCAAGAAAAUCCCACACUACUGUUCAAAGCAAGGGUUCACCCAGAGACCUGGCUGACAUUUAUCCCAAAACUAACCUCCAUGAAAUAUUUUCACAUCAUUAUCACAUUGCUGUUUCAGUGGGAGCUUGCUGUCUCAUACUGUACAACAGUAACACACCAAAAGGUCCCUAAUUUGGCACAAAGUCUAGGUCAUUUUGAGCUUGCACUGUGAAUGCAGGUAAUUCUUCUAAAUCUGGGGAAAGUUUGGCAAAUUAAGAGACUUUUAUUGGUUCAGGAAUACAAUCAAGCAGAAAGUCAGCAGUGAUCUGCUUGAAAGGUGGAGAAUUCCACUUCCACUCCCAGGAAACCCCACCCCUCAGAUAUUGGUUACCACAGACCUGCA